CUCAAACCGCCCCUUCUCUCAAACUCUUUCUAACACUCGAAACCCUAGCUGCCUCUGUCGUCUUCUCUGACUAGUUCCUACAGUAGUCCAUAGCUUCUCAGGCCAUGGACGACAUGUGCUCACUUCUUCACCCCAAAUCAUGGUUAUUCAAGGCUUUCGAGGUUCAACCUCAAUGAGGCCUGUUCAGAUCCUCUACCGAUUUGUGUUCCUGUGGCUUCUCUGGCUCCGUUCCGACGUGUUCGAGCCUCAAGAUCCUGGAUAAGGCUCAGAUCUACUCCAGGCCAGAUCCUUUCCAAGCCUUCUCGUUCUAGGGUUCUGAGAAACCCUAAAAGAUAUUCGAG
rnacentral:lncRNA from 1 species